UCCAAGAACUUUUCCCGGAAGCUGAUUUCUCAUUACCUCCAUUUCGACCCAAUUCCUUCUGGUGUUCAUGCGAUGGCUGGAAGAAUCCUAAUGGAAUUUGAAAAUAUUGCUGCAGAUGGAUAGGUAAAUCAACUAGCUCAAUUUCUUGUUGGACAUGAACAAGCUCCCUCAGGUAUAGAAGAUCUCACAGAGGAUCUGCACCAUCAGGACAAUUUUCAUGUUCCAGCUAGAAUGCUCGUCGCUGCUGACACCAGACAAAUUUCGGAAUGCCAAUUCUAUGGAGAAACAACAGAGGAUUGCCGGAUGAUAGGAACCCUUCCCUGCUGAUGCACUACAUCACCCCUGCCCUGAUGUUCCAGCUCUACAAGCUUUGCUGCUGAACUCUGUUUGCUCUGUGUGUGCUCAUUUUAUCAGUGUACACCAUCAGCUUGAUGUGUGAUAAUUAGUUUAUGCAUCAUUUCAACCUUGUAUGUGAAGUAAACUCCU